CUCCCCCUUAUCACCCCCCUAGUUCUGGAGAUCCUGGAGUUGAUCCAGCGCCGUGAGCUGGUUGCGGCAGAUGAGCAGAUCAUCGCGUUGGAGGCCGAAUGUGCCGCGCUGCCUUCAUCCCCACCAUCAUCAUCAUCAUCCUUAUCACCACCCUUAUCUCCACCCUUAUCUCCAUCCCCGUCCAGCCGCCAGGCCCGCGACGUGUCCCUCCUUUACGACGCGCUCUUAUCUCAGUUAUGGGCCGUGGUGGCCGAGUCGGUUCCGUUGGGUCGCCCGUCCCCGUUGCUCCGUUCCGUGGUUCAGGUUCUAGAGCAAGAAGAAGCCGCCGACGCCCGGACCCUCAUAGGAACCCAUGGGACCCCCAUAGGAACUCACGGGACCCCCAUAGGAGCCCACGGGACCCCCAUAGGAACCCAUGGGACCCCCAUAGGAUCCCACGGGACCCCCAUAGGGACCCACGGGACCCCCAUAGGAUCCCAUGGGACCCCCAUAGGAACCCACGGGACCCCCAUAGGAGCCCACGGGACCCCCAUAGGGACCCACGGGACCCCCAUAGGAACCCACGGGACCCCCAUAGAAUCCCACGGGACCCCCAUAGGAACCCAUGGGACCCCCAUAGGAUCCCACAGGACCCCCAUAGGAACCCAUGGGACCCCCAUAGGAACCCACGGGACCCCCAUAGGAUCCCACAGGACCCCCAUAGGGAGACCGCGGGGCUUACGGCGGCGCUGGGAGGAGGCUGUGGGGAGGGCGGCCCACGAGAGGUUGGGGCAGGUGGUUGUAGGGGGGGGUUUAGGGCCCAGGUUGGCGGCGUUGGCUGGGAGGGUUAUAGGGGAUUUGGGGUCGGUUCGGAGCCACGUGGCCCCGCUGUACCCGGCCCCAUACGACGCAUUUGGGGUCUAUGCCAGGGGGUAUCACCGGGCCCUGGCGCAGCACGUGGCCGCGCUGGCACAAAGAACAACCGCGGUGCCGGAGCUUUAUCUGCUGCUGGACUGGAACUGCAACACAUACCCCAGGUACCGGGAUCCUAUAGAUCACUAUGACCCCCAUGGGACCCUAUAGA
rnacentral:lncRNA from 1 species